AGACAUCUCCUGAUGGUAGCAGCUGAAGAUAUCCCAGCAGUACGUGAGUGAAGUAACCACCACAUCAGUUACUGCCAUUUCGUCUACGUUCAUCUUCCCGGAGGAGUUCUUGUUUUGCUAGAUCAUCACGAAAACCUGCAGGAUCAGCCAGUGGCCAAGGGUUUGGUCUCGGUGGAAUUUAUCUUUUCUCAUGACAAACGUCUUCUGAUCAGAGACAAGGAGUGAGUUUUCCCUCUGUGGAUAAACAGGAGGUAUCUGUUCCCAGAAGAAUGAACUAGUCAACAGUGGUAAGACUACCUCAACUUAAAAAUGCAGCAGUCCAAGCACUAUAGUGGGAUGAAGUGGGCUGUUUACCAUCCAAGCCUUCUGAUGGAGGUUAAAAAACUAUAGCACAUGCUGUUACUGGUGUUUUUAUAAUGGAGAGAGUCUUUUCUGUUAAAUAUUCUCAUCAAACAUACAUGUUGCUGUUUGUUGCAUUUGCAAGGAAUCUUUUCUUUCCAGAUGUUUUUUCUCAGCCUUGUAGGAUUUGUGGAAGUAGUCUUCCCCAAAUUUGAUUCUAGCUCCAUGCAAUGAGUAAGGGUGUUGUCAGGCUCUUUUGCUUGCUAGUAAUUCUUGUCGGUCACCUCUCAGCUUGCCGAACACACAUGUAUUCUGCUCAUGUUUUCUAGAUAGAGAAGCUCACAGCAGCCACAGCGGUUUGUCUGAGCUUCCCUGGCUGCUAGGGCAUUUCGUUGAGCAUGAGCUCCAUCAGUUUGCAGUCUCCAGAGAGGAAGUUUUCCACCUAACCCCUGAAGGGGCACUUCACACUCAUCAGUGUCUUCCACCACCCUUCCUGCUCUGGGAGGUGGCAGUCAUCUCCCCCGCAGGACCCGUGAGCAGCAAGAAGGAACGCAGUCUCUCAAGAUUGCACGUCAGUGCAGUCUGAGAUGUCUCUGAACGCUUGGUCUUUCUGUGGUCCUCAAAAACUGGGAAGGAAAUCCCUUUUAAAUGUUCUUGCCAUUAAGAUCCCCUGAGCCAGCUGAUCUUGUUCAGGCCUUCAGCCACAGUUUGCUUGAGAAUGUGAGGCAGCAUCCUGUGUCAGGCACGACGUUGCUGAAGGUGAAGCAGCAGCUAUGGAUGUCAUCUGCUCAGGAUACUGUGUUAGUGCAGCCCCUUGCUUUGCUACUUCCACUCAACACGCAGAACCACAAGGAAAGUUAGCAAAGCAAGGCAACAGGGAUGAAUUACACUGCACUUCAUCACAGCCAGCCUGAAUAGUCAGUACCCUCUAAAUGUGACCAUUGUGAAAUGCAAGUGAAAGCUGGAUGUGAAGGAAUCAUCAGACAAGACUGGGGCAAUAUCUUCUGGCUGGUGCUUGACCCUCUUUUUUGGUACCCAGCAGCGAGGGUGCACGGCUCAGUGUGCACACUCAAACCAGAAGAUGUGUUGCCAAGCCAGAAGAUCUCGGUUGUUUCUAACUUUUCCCAAAACCCAAGGUAUGACCCCAAGGAUCAUGUAGGGGCAGCAGGGUCAGGCUUGGCAAAGCCACCACCGAGCAGGAGGUGUGAGCUGCUGACAGCUGCUGACCUGAGCCCGGCCAUUAGUCCCCAGGGCGUCCCUGCAAAGGGAACACAGCUCUGCUGCUCACCUCCCUGGGGAGACCUCCAGGGACAGGGGACAGCAAACUGUGGCUCAGACCAGUGAGCACUGUGCUGUGGAUGUUCACUACUUAAUCACCAUCGUGAAAAUCUCCACUAAACCUGGUUUGCAGCUAUUAACUGUGCCUAGCGCUCUGAGAACAGGAUUGGUUUUUGUUAAAGAUCAUGUACAAAAGAGGCAGAUAAUUCUGUUCAUGCUUGAAACAGCAAGAAAAGGAAUAAUCAGGAGUGCUUUUUAGAAUACAUUUUCCUGCAAUUAAAACAUUUCAAGGCACCUAAUUGUUUCUUAUGGUACAUUAUGAAAUAAGUAGCAGAAGAGUGAAGGAUGCAGCCUCACACAAGAUUCCUGCAAGCAUCAAUGGUGACACGAACACAUUGAUGUGGCGGGAGCACGUUCCCUGGAUCACUGGGACAUUUUCAGAAUUCUACACACUUAGAAUUAUAGAAUCACAGAAUGGUUUGGGUUGGAAGGGACCUUAAAGCCCACCCAGUUCCAGCCCCCUGCCAUGGGCAGGGACACCUCCCACCAGACCAGGUUGCCCAAAGCCCCAUCCAGCCUGGCCUUGAGCACCUCCAGGGAUGGGGCAUCCACAGCUUCUCUGGGCAGCCUGUGCCAGGGCCUCACCACCCUCUGAGUAAACAGUUUCUUCCUAAUAUCUAAUCUAAACCUACCCUCGUUUAGUUUAAAGCCAUUCCCCCUUGUCCUAUCACUAUACUCCCUGAUAAAGAGUCCUCUUGAUGGAGCUCAGCAGGCAGCCUAAAAACUCUCCUUAUUGCCAAUUUCUUCUUUACACCCUCCUUUCCUCUCAUGUUAUGUGUCACUUUCCUGUAUAUUUUAGAAUUUUCUUUGCCCCUUCCCAGGGUGAGGCAGGGCCUCCGCACCACACCUGGGAGGAGGCUGUGGUCCUGUGGCUGGGCUGGGUGCCGGCAGGAGGGUGCAGAUGGGCUGAGCAGCCCCAACCCGCUGCUGGUGAUGGAAGGGGCCUGCAGGUGGGUUGCCCUCGCAGGAGAGAAACACAUGAAGUGAAGCGUGGUUCAGAUUUCCUCCUGCCACGUGGCACCGUGUCUUUCCUUCAUUCUGGACGUCCUGAUCCCUUUCUAGAUACAGAGCAGGGCUUUGGGCUUUCAGCUUUGCCCUGAGGAGCCAAGGAAAUGUUUACCCUUUUCUGUAAGAGAAGUGGGGUUUAGAAGAUUGAUUAAAAUAAUAAUCUAUGGAUUGUGUUUCUCAGAUUUUACCACAUGUAAACACAAUCUUAAGUGUAAUCAGUUUCAAUGACUUCUAUUUAAUUCCUGGACAAAGUUUGCUUUUAAAUACCACACCAGAUUGGACAUGGCCAAAGACAAACUGAAUGCAAUUAGUUCUACUAUUUGUUUGAUGAUAUGCUAAAUUAUUUCUUUCAACAGAGCAUUUAUUAUAAAAAGCUAAUGGUUAUACUCUUGCAUUUAACAUCUAAUAUAUUGUAAACCAUGGCAAACUGAUAAGUUUCAAAAUGAGUUAUUAAAGUCUGGGAAAAAAAAAUAAUCUAUGAGUUUCAUCUAGUAAAUAAUUGUCAAUGCCCAAAUGAUCAUUUUCACAAAUCUUAAACUGGAAGAAUUUCAUAUGCAUUUCUGAUCAUUGCAUAAAUCAGAAAUGUUAAUUAAACUGCCUGUUACUGAUGACUUUAAUUUAUAUUCCCUUAAUGAAUGUAUAUUCUUAAGUAGAAUGUCUGGAUUUAAAUGCUCUUAUGGCAUUGUUAACAUAAUGCCCCUUAAAACUGUUAAUAAGACCUGUCGGAAGGCUUGCUCUCAUCUGCACUGAGCCAGCUGUUGCACGGAACAGCCAUGGAGUUGUUUGAAUACUCAUGUAAUUUACUGAAAAUUAACCUUGUCUCUAUCAUCAUCCCCUCCAGCAAAAAACAAACAAACAAACAAACAAACAAACAAAAAACAACCAACCAACCAACCAAAAAAACUAAUGCAACAAUAACAC